CCAAUAGCGUAUAUUAAAGUUGUUGCAGUUAAAAAGCUCGUAGUUGAAUUUCGGGAUCAGUACGCCGGUCGUGCCUUCGGUAUGCACUGGUGUCACUGGUUUCUCCCUUCUGAAGAACCAUCAUGCCAUUCAGUUGGUGUGGCGGGGAAUCAGGACUGUUACUUUGAAAAAAUUAGAGUGUUUAAAGCAGGCCCGCGCUUGAAUACAUUAGCAUGGAAUAAUGAAAUAGGACGUUUGACCCUAUUUUGUUGGUUCCUAGGAUCGACGUAAUGAUUAAUAGGGAUAGUUUGGGGCAUUAGUAUUCAAUUGUCAGAGGUGAAAUUCUUGGAUUUAUUGAAGACUAACUACUGCGAAAGCAUUUGCCAAAGAUGUUUUCAUUAAUCAAGAACGAAAGUUAGGGGAUCGAAGACGAUCAGAUACCGUCGUAGUCUUAACCAUAAACUAUGCCGACUAGGGAUCGGAUGAUGUUAAUUUUUUAAUGACUCAUUCGGCGCCUUACG
rnacentral:rRNA from 1 species